rnacentral:rRNA from 1 species
GGAGUUAGCCGGUGCUUCUUCUGUGAGUGAUGUCCUUCCUGCCGGCUAUUAACCCGCAGGCCUUCUUCCUCACUGAAAGUGCUUUACAACCCGAAGGCCUUCUUCACACACGCGGCAUGGCUGGAUCAGGGUUGCCCCCAUUGUCCAAUAUUCCCCACUGCUGCCUCCCGUAGGAGUCUGGGCCGUGUCUCAGUCCCAGUGUGGCUGAUCAUCCUCUCAGACCAUCUACGGAUCGUCGCCUUGGUGAGCCGUUACCUCACCAACCAGCUAAUCCGACAUAGGCUCAUCCGAUAGCGCGAGGCCCGAAGGUCCCCCGCUUUCCCCCGUAGGGCGUAUGCGGUAUUAGCCUGGGUUUCCCCAGGUUAUCCCCCACUACCCGGGCAGAUUCCUAUGCAUUACUCACCCGUCCGCCGCUCGCCACCAGGGAGCAAGCUCCCCGUGCUGCCGCUCGACUUGCAUGUGUUAGGCCUGCCGCCAGCGUUCAAUCUGAGCAGAUACAACUACUGA